AAAAAAAACAACAGGGAUUGCCCCAGUAACGGCGAGUGAAGCGGCAACAGCUCAAAUUUGAAAUCUGGUCCCCAGGGCCCGAGCUUGUAAUUUGUAGAGGAUGCUUUUGGCGAGGUGCCUUCCGAGUUCCCUGGAACGGGACGCCAUAGAGGGUGAGAGCCCCGUCUGGUUGGAUACCAAGCCUCUGUAAAGCUCCUUCGACGAGUCGAGUAGUUUGGGAAUGCUGCUCUAAAUGGGAGGUAUAUGUCUUCUAAAGCUAAAUACCGGCCAGAGACCGAUAGCGCACAAGUAGAGUGAUCGAAAGAUGAAAAGCACUUUGAAAAGAGGGUUAAAUAGUACGUGAAAUUGUUGAAAGGGAAGCGUUUGUGACCAGACUUGGGCCCGGUUAAUCAUCCAGCGUUCUCGCUGGUGCACUUUGCCGGCCCAGGCCAGCAUCAGUUCGCGCCGGGGGAUAAAGGCUUCGGGAAUGUGGCUCCUCCGGGAGUGUUAUAGCCCGCUGCGUAAUACCCUGGUGCGGACUGAGGUUCGCGCUCCGCAAGGAUGCUGGCGUAAUGGUCAUCAGCGACCCGUCUUGAAACACGGACCAAGGAGUCGUCUUCGUAUGCGAGUGUUCGGGUGUCAAACCCCUACGCGUAAUGAA
rnacentral:rRNA from 1 species